CGCGCGUUCGGUCAUGGGUAGGCCCUCGCCCUUUCACGGCGAUGAAGCGGGUUCGAGUCCCGCACGCGUGACCA
rnacentral:tRNA from 1 species